GCCGCUAUAGCUCAGUGGUAGAGCGCAUCAUUGGUAAUGAUGAGGUCAGGAGUCCGAUUCUCCUUAGUGGCACCA
rnacentral:tRNA from 2 species